rnacentral:tRNA from 1 species
GGGGAUUUAGCUCAGCAGCACAGCGCCUGCCUGGCAAGCAUGAAGUGAGUUCAAUCCCUG